CGGUGCGGGGCGGGCUAACACAUGCAAGUCGAGCGGAUGAGAAGAGCUUGCUCUUCGAUUCAGCGGCGGACGGGUGAGUAAUGCCUAGGAAUCUGCCUGGUAGUGGGGGACAACGUUUCGAAAGGAACGCUAAUACCGCAUACGUCCUACGGGAGAAAGCAGGGGACCUUCGGGCCUUGCGCUAUCAGAUGAGCCUAGGUCGGAUUAGCUAGUUGGUGAGGUAAUGGCUCACCAAGGCGACGAUCCGUAACUGGUCUGAGAGGAUGAUCAGUCACACUGGAACUGAGACACGGUCCAGACUCCUACGGGAGGCAGCAGUGGGGAAUAUUGGACAAUGGGCGAAAGCCUGAUCCAGCCAUGCCGCGUGUGUGAAGAAGGUCUUCGGAUUGUAAAGCACUUUAAGUUGGGAGGAAGGGCAUUAACCUAAUACGUUAGUGUUUUGACGUUACCGACAGAAUAAGCACCGGCUAACUCUGUGCCAGCAGCCGCGGUAAUACAGAGGGUGCAAGCGUUAAUCGGAAUUACUGGGCGUAAAGCGCGCGUAGGUGGUUUGUUAAGUUGAAUGUGAAAGCCCCGGGCUCAACCUGGGAACUGCAUCCAAAACUGGCAAGCUAGAGUACGGUAGAGGGUGGUGGAAUUUCCUGUGUAGCGGUGAAAUGCGUAGAUAUAGGAAGGAACACCAGUGGCGAAGGCGACCACCUGGACUGAUACUGACACUGAGGUGCGAAAGCGUGGGGAGCAAACAGGAUUAGAUACCCUGGUAGUCCACGCCGUAAACGAUGUCAACUAGCCGUUGGAAUCCUUGAGAUUUUAGUGGCGCAGCUAACGCAUUAAGUUGACCGCCUGGGGAGUACGGCCGCAAAGUUAAAACUCAAAUGAAUUGACGGGGGCCCG
rnacentral:rRNA from 1 species